rnacentral:rRNA from 1 species
UAGGGAAUCUUCGGCAAUGGGGGCAACCCUGACCGAGCAACGCCGCGUGAGUGAAGAAGGUUUUCGGAUCGUAAAGCUCUGUUGUAAGUCAAGAACGAGUGUGAGAGUGGAAAGUUCACACUGUGACGGUAGCUUACCAGAAAGGGACGGCUAACUACGUGCCAGCAGCCGCGGUAAUACGUAGGUCCCGAGCGUUGUCCGGAUUUAUUGGGCGUAAAGCGAGCGCAGGCGGUUUGAUAAGUCUGAAGUUAAAGGCCGUGGCUCAACCAUAGUUCGCUUUGGAAACUGUCAAACUUGAGUGCAGAAGGGGAGAGUGGAAUUCCAUGUGUAGCGGUGAAAUGCGUAGAUAUAUGGAGGAACACCGGUGGCGAAAGCGGCUCUCUGGUCUGUAACUGACGCUGAGGCUCGAAAGCGUGGGGAGCGAACAGGAUUAGAUACCCUGGUAGUCCACGCCGUAAACGAUGAGUGCUAGGUGUUGGAUCCUUUCCGGGAUUCAGUGCCGCAGCUAACGCAUUAAGCACUCCGCCUGGGGAGUACGACCGCANGGUUG